rnacentral:lncRNA from 1 species
AAUGUAAACAUACUUUAAUGGAGCAUCAUUGAAUCCUUUAAAACAAUUACAACCUAGAAAUAGUUAAUCACCACAAUUAUGGCUUUGGAUUACCUGUAUUAGAACAAAGAUCUCUGAGAGAUCAAGUAACUCUGGUAAAAAGGGUCCUUGAGCAACUAUGAACUCAUGCAUCAUAAAAUUGAUGAGGAAGCAAAAUUAAAUAUGGUAAACAGAUGAUUUACUGUUAUGCAAAGUCAAAGGAAUACAGGGAUCAUGUAUCUACCAAUAUACAUUUAGGGCUGAGACUCCAAAGAGAGCACUAAUUGUUCUGGUUGCUUCUUGGUUCAGGCAUGGGACCAAAUUGAUAAGGUGUUGUUAUAUCCGAGAAGAGAUCAUAGGGAUGGUGUUCUGAAGGUAAGCAGCAGCUGCAGCCACUCCACUUCCCAGCUUCACUUGGUAUCCUACAUCUCUGAGUACCAUUUCCACACCACUCAAGCAACCAAGCAAUUGCAACUGCAAAACUCGAAAAGAGGAUGGUCAGCAAAACACAGUAACAACUGGCUGCAUUACCUACCUAUAGAGCACAAACUUCUGGUAUGAAACUGUUCUACCCAUGAAAGUGUAUACAAGUUCACAUGAAAGCAAUGCAACAGAGUAGGGAAAACUACAAUGGAAAACAAUCUAUGCGCAAGAUCAUUAAAUGGUGGAUUUUAGAGGACAAUGCAAUCUGUCCCAAUAAUAAGAUUUUGUUGCCAGUAAAAGUACAUGAAUUUUUAUCUUAGCAUUAUUUUUAAUCAACUAAAUCCAUCAUAUUUUCUACUAAUAAUAAUUAUUGGUUUUUUUUGGUGAAUUCUUUUAGCAGAAUCUUUUGUGUGAGUUUUCCUCUUUAUCUUACUCUUCCCUUUCGAAUCAUCCAAUUUUUAGUAAUGGAUCAACCGUAUAGGCUACUUUGCCUUCCCACUCAUUUUUUUCUUGGAUACUUGACCUUGAUUCCUUGCUCUGAACUACAUAAUCUUUGCAAGAUGCUUGAACUAGUUAUAAUUGGAAUAAACAAUUACUUCAUGCAAAUUAGUGGCAUUGACCUGCAGCAUGUGAUAAAACAAUAUUUUUUAGUUUUCAUCACAGAAUAACAGAUGUUAGUCGGGAUUCAAUUUGCCUUAGAUACUAACUUUAGCAUAUUAUUGACAUCCCCCUGAUAAAAUGAAUGACAUGCUACAAUAUCUAGUUCACAGCAACAUGCAAACACCACAACCCUUAUGCUUAUGAUGAAGCAGAUAGUAACAAGAUACACAAUAUAAUGUUAUUUAGAUCACCUAUUUGCAUACCAAUUCUAACAUAGUUUUCAAAUUAUUCACACUCACUCUCUUUAGUUCAACUUUAUAAAUUCAGCAGCUAACUAUUCAAUCCUACCUGAUAUAAUCAGUAACUAUGGUUUAGCUGUAAAGUAAUCUGCAAUUCCAAACUAACAGCUAUCAUAUGAUAUGAUAUAAUGUAGCACAUUAAUGAUGGACCUUGAGGCAUCAUUAGUCUAACACAAUUACAUGGCUAAAGAAAUUCUCAGCCUAGACAUGAUGUUAUAUGCUAAAGAGAACUAUUUUAGUUCACAACUUCCAUGCAACAUUUUGAACCCUAAAUCAUCCAAAUAAACCAUCAGUUUAGUGUAAAGAUAGUCUCCUUUAGCAUCUGAAACUGUUAGAUGAAUUUUCAAGUCCAUAAAGUACAAGAAUGAUAUCAAGUAUCAUGAUUGCACCUAACCUUAUCUUUUGAUUGAUCAUAGCUCACUUCUAAUUGACAUAUGAACUAUUACAAUGAAUAACACUCAGUUUAGUUCACUUGAAGAUAACUAACACAAGAUAUUUCAAUCAGAAAUAAAGAUGUAGGAGCAAGUUUGACACGAGCAGCGAAGCUAACCAUUGAUAAAGUGAAUGACAGGUAAAACUGAUCUGAAGCCUAGAUCUCAAGUGUCGGUUUAGGCCAUAACUCAAUUAACUUACUUAACUCACAGUGGAAUAGUUAGCAGCAAUGCAAAUGCAAGAGUCACCUAGGAAAUUUAAUGAAAAAUGUACCUUUCAGAAUCCGAUAUCAGAAAAACACAGUUUUAUUGAAUGUCUUGCGAACAUUUGUGAGAAAUGGAGAUAAAAAUGCAUACAUGCCAGAAAUGAUUAUAUUCAUAUUCGUAAAUUGGUGGCUGCAGAAUAUUCAGGGGAGGCGAAAAUUGAUGAACUUGCUGUUUCUUUAGCACAUAACAAUUGAAAAAAUAUAUAUGUAAAUUCUUCAACCAUAAGAUAGUGAACUAUGUAGUUAUGAAACUGCUAAAGUAAACUACGAAUUCAGUACAAACCCAAAGAUUAGAAUGGAACAAAAUAAGGAAAAUUCAUUAAUUUUCCUAGUUUAAGUCUAGAUCUACCUCCAACAAAUGUUAGAAAGAAAACAAUUGCCUCAUGUUUCAUAAAUUCAGACACAUAUACAAGAUUCUAGUUAGAAGAGAAGCAAUAUUACUAAAUAAAAAAGGGAAGAAAGGAAGCCAUACAUCAUUAAGGUUGCCAAGAUGCCCUAUCCUGAACACCUUUCCUGCCACUUUAUUAAGACCAAGCCCUAAGCUCAGAUUGUAUCGUGUCCACGCUCUCUUCACAACAUCAGAACUGUUAAUAUGAGGUGGAACCAUCACAGCAGUGACAGUAUCACUAAACCAUUCCUCCUUCUGUGUACAGUUCUUCAAGCCCCAAGCCUCUACAGCAAGCCUGCAUUUUCAAAAGAAUGAAAAUUUGCAAUUAUAGUUUAAGAAUGCAGCAACUACCAAGAGUUAAAUUACUGAAUUGAACAAUUCUUUUGGUUUUCUAGUGUUUCCCACAAACACAAAGACUGAAGGUAUUACAGUUGACAGAGAAAAAAUCUUGAGGAAUAAUACAUCAACUGCAACUAUUUGUAUACCUUGUUGCUUUUCCAAGUCGGCUGUGCCUUGCGAUCACAUUGUCAAGGCCUUCCUCAAAUAAAAGAUCCAAAGCAGCUCUGAACCCAUACAGAA